GUGCCAGCCGCCGCGGUAAGACGAACCGAGCGAACGUUGUUCGGAAUCACUGGGCUUAAAGGGCGCGUAGGCGGGCCUGCCAGUCUGUGGUGAAAUCCUCCGGCUCAACCGGAGAACUGCCUCGGAUACUGUGGGUCUCGAGGGUGAUAGGGGUAUGCGGAACUAUCGGUGGAGCGGUGAAAUGCGUUGAUAUCGAUAGGAACUCCGGUGGCGAAGGCGGCAUACUGGAUCACUUCUGACGCUGAGGCGCGAAAGCCAGGGGAGCAAACGGGAUUAGAUACCCCAGUAGUCC
rnacentral:rRNA from 1 species